AUUGAACGCUGGCGGCAGGCUUAACACAUGCAAGUCGAGCGGAGAUGAGGUGCUUGCACCUUAUCUUAGCGGCGGACGGGUGAGUAAUGCUUAGGAAUCUGCCUAUUAGUGGGGGACAACAUUCCGAAAGGGAUGCUAAUACCGCAUACGUCCUACGGGAGAAAGCAGGGGAUCUUCGGACCUUGCGCUAAUAGAUGAGCCUAGGUCGGAUUAGCUAGUUGGUGGGGUAAAGGCGUACCAAGGCGACGAUCUGUAGCGGGUCGGAGAGGAGGAGCCGCCACACUGGGACUGAGACACGGCCCAGAGUCCUACGGGAGGAAGCAGUGGGGAAUAUUGGACAAUGGGGGGAAACCUGAUCCAGCCAUGCCGGGUGUGUGAAGAAGGCCUUAUGGUUGUAAAGCACUUUAAGCGAGGAGGAGGCUACUGAGACUAAUACUCUUGGAUAGUGGACGUUACUCGCAGAAUAAGCACCGGCUAACUCUGUGCCAGCAGCCGCCGUAACAC
rnacentral:rRNA from 1 species